UGGGGAAUCUUAGACAAUGGGCGCAAGCCUGAUCUAGCCAUGCCGCGUGAGCGAUGAAGGCCUUAGGGUUGUAAAGCUCUUUCAGAUGGGAAGAUAAUGACGGUACCAUCAGAAGAAGCCCCGGCUAACUCCGUGCCAGCAGCCGCGGUAAUACGGAGGGGGCUAGCGUUGUUCGGAAUUACUGGGCGUAAAGCGCGCGUAGGCGGAUUGGAAAGUUGGGGGUGAAAUCCCGGGGCUCAACCUCGGAACUGCCUUCAAAACUCCCAGUCUUGAGUUCGAGAGAGGUGAGUGGAAUUCCGAGUGUAGAGGUGAAAUUCGUAGAUAUUCGGAGGAACACCAGUGGCGAAGGCGGCUCACUGGCUCGAUACUGACGCUGAGGUGCGAAAGCGUGGGGAGCAAACAGG
rnacentral:rRNA from 1 species